CCUACGGGUGGCAGCAGUGAGGAAUAUUGGUCAAUGGCCGGGAGGCUGAACCAGCCAAGUCGCGUGAGGGAAUACGGCCCUACGGGUUGUAAACCUCUUUUGUCAGGGAGCAAGGUGCAGGUCGGGACCUGCUGUGAGAGUACCUGACGAAAAAGCAUCGGCUAACUCCGUGCCAGCAGCCGCGGUACUACGGGGGCUGCGAGCGUUAUCCGGAUUUAUGGGGUUAAAAGGGUGCGCAGGCGGUGGCACAAGUCAGCGGUAAAAGCGCGGGGCUCAACCCCGCUCCGCCGUUGAAACUGUGUGCCUUGAGUGCGCGAAGGGUAGGCGGAAUGCGUGGUGUAGCGGUGAAAUGCAUAGAUAUCACGCAGAACUCCGAUCGCGAAGGCAGGCUACCGGCGCGCAACUGACGCUCAUGCACGAAAGCGAGGGUAGCGAACAGGAUUAGAUACCCGAGUAGUC
rnacentral:rRNA from 1 species